UACAGAGGGUGCAAGCGUUAAUCGGAAUUACUGGGCGUAAAGCGUGCGCAGUCGGUUAUUUAAGUCGGAUGUGAAAUCCCCGGGCUCAACCUGGGAAUUGCAUUCGAUACUGGAUGGCUAGAGUGUGUCAGAGGGGGGUAGAAUUCCACGUGUAGCAGUGAAAUGCGUAGAGAUGUGGAGGAAUACCGAUGGCGAAGGCAGCCCCCUGGGAUAACACUGACGCUCAUGCACGAAAGCGUGGGGAGCAAACAGG
rnacentral:rRNA from 1 species